CAAUAGCUUGCGGCAGCCUAACCAUGCAAGUCCAGCGGAUGAAAGGAGCUUGCUCCUGGAUUCAGCGGCGGACGGGUGAGUAAUGCCUAGGAAUCUGCCUGGUAGUGGGGGACAACGUUUCGAAAGGAACGCUAAUACCGCAUACGUCCUACGGGAGAAAGCAGGGGACCUUCGGGCCUUGCGCUAUCAGAUGAGCCUAGGUCGGAUUAGCUAGUUGGUGAGGUAAUGGCUCACCAAGGCGACGAUCCGUAGCUGGUCUGAGAGGAUGAUCAGCCACACUGGGACUGAGACACGGCCCAGACUCCUACGGGAGGCAGCAGUGGGGAAUAUUGGACAAUGGGCGAAAGCCUGAUCCAGCCAUGCCGCGUGUGUGAAGAAGGCCUUUUGGUUGUAAAGCACUUUAAGUGGGGAGGAAAAGCUUGUGGUUAAUACCCAUUAGCCCUGACGUUACCCACAGAAUAAGCACCGGCUAACUCUGUGCCAGCAGCCGCGGUAAU
rnacentral:rRNA from 1 species